rnacentral:rRNA from 1 species
CGGCGGACGGGUGAGUAACGCGUGGGUAACCUGCCUCAUACAGGGGGAUAACAGUUGGAAACGGCUGCUAAUACCGCAUAAGCGCACAGUACCGCAUGGUACGGUGUGAAAAACUCCGGUGGUAUGAGAUGGACCCGCGUCUGAUUAGGUAGUUGGUGGGGUAACGGCCUACCAAGCCGACGAUCAGUAGCCGACCUGAGAGGGUGACCGGCCACACUGGGACUGAGACACGGCCCAA